ensembl:lncRNA
UAGUGAAGUGUAUCCUCACUUUCAUACAGUUAUUGUUGUAAUCAAAGCUUUUAAAGAAUGGAUCUCUGCAUUAAGGGCCUGACCAGAGCACAGGUGGCCUGACAGAACACGCUUCAAAGUUGUCACUUUCAAAAGGGUGGCAUUUUAACCCUGUCAGUCCAAAAUGUCUAAAACUUGGUACCCAUGACUUAUUGCUCAUGGGAAACAAAAAAGUCUCAAGAACCCAUAAUGUCACCAGCAUGGAUAUUUCUCGACAGUGACAAUUUGUGAAUAAUUUAAAAAAAUGACUUCAAAUCAGCCAUUGAUCCAAUUAUCUGUCCAAUGUUGUGUACAUGUAUGAAAUACAUGUCAGUGUCAUGUCAAUUUUGUAAUGAUUGGAAUGUUGAGGAGGAACCCGCCAUUGCUGCCUGCAGCUAUAUUUAGGGUUCCUCCGUCAGGAGGAAACCUAUUGUUAUUGUAGGUAUUAUUAGGGUUCCUCCGUCAGGAGGAAACCUAUUGUUAUUGUAGGUAUUAUUAGGGUUCCUCCGUCAGGAGGAAACCUAUUGUUAUUGUAGGUAUUAUUAGGGUUCCUCCGUCAGGAGGAAACCUAUUGUUAUUGUAGGUAUUAUUAUUAUUAUUAUUAUUAUUAUUCUUGUACCAUUGGAGUCAAUGGCAGCCCCUAGAACCGUAUGGUAACUUUUUCUGAAAUUUGGCACACUCAUUAAGGACAGUCCCUUCUUCACUCACACCAAGUUUCAUGUCUCCCACUAGACCACACUAGCGCCACCAACGGGUCAAAGUUGGACUUUUGUUAACA